rnacentral:tRNA from 1 species
GCGGGUAUCGUAUAAUGGCAAUAUAACAGGUUUCCAACCUGUGGCCGCGGGUUCGAUUCCCGCUACCCGCU